CCAGUGGGAACUGAUAGAUAAGACUGCUGAUGCGCUCUCAUCCAUUGAAGAGCUGACCAGAAACGUGAACAGAGAGACUGCACCUGAUGGGAUCCCUGCCAUAACAGAUGUGUUCUGUCCAGUGAAGGCAGUGGAGAAGCCCUACACUGAUCUUGAAACUGUGCCACGCUAGUAGAGACCGGCUACAAGGAUGGGCAGCUGUUUUUGCAAAGUCAGCCAACCUCUUGCUUCCAAAUGACCCUUAUCCAGAAGUAUCCGUGAGUGCCUCAUCAACAGAAACUAAAGUGGAGACAUACCUCUCAGAGAAAAACGCACACAUAAGAAAAGCCGACCCACUUCAGUACUGGGAAGAACAUCCUAAUCUGUUUCCCUCUAUGGCUGCUGUUGCGAUCCCAGUGUGCCCCCUGUAGCUCUGUGGACAGUUUUGGAUUUGUUUACAUCUCACCCCAACCGGUCGCGGCAGAUGGCCGCCCCUCCCUGAGCCUGGUUCUGCCGGAGGUUUCUUCCUGUUAAAAGGGAGUUUUUCCUUCCCACUGUCGCCAAAGUGCUUGCUCAUAGGGGGUCAUAUGAUUGUUGGGUUUAUCUAUAUACAUUGAUGCUUGUAUGCUUUUCAUUUAUACUUUUGCCUUACUCUUCGGUUCAUAAUAUAAAGUUACUUGAAUGUUUUCCUUUUCCUUUUUUAUUUUAUAUUGCUUUGCUAUUUACCACAAUCUAAAUAUCAUGUUUAAAUGUCAUACAUUAUUGUAAAUGGUAUUUGUACAAAAUAUUGUUUGAAUAACAUGAUACAUUUUAGUCCCACAAGGGGAAAUUUCAUAAUUUGCAUGUGGAAUUUCCCCUUUCACAUUAAAAUACCUUUGAAAUACAAAUUGAA